GACCUCGGCUCCCGUGUUGCCAGGAUCCGACCUCUCCUAGUUGAAAACAGCCUCGUGUUCCCCUGGGCCGAGGGGCAGCUCCAGAGGACUGGCUGAGUGCUCCGCGGCACUGGGACCGUUGUGAAGAUCAGAUGGGACAUUGUACGCGAAGGCAUGCUGCGGACACUACAUGCCUGGGCAAGAGCGUGGAGGCCCCAGAGUGGGUCUGAUGACACUGUUGAUGAAGAUCUUGGCUGUGACCUCUGUGGGAAAUGAGCCAUGGACCAACCAAUAUUCAACAUACUUAAUCUGAUUUACUCAUUACCAGUGAUGACGAUCUUGUCUGUCACUUCUGUGGAUAGAAAGCAACGGGACUCAUAGCAAGGGCAAUUAAAUAGAAGAAGCACCCAAAAUGAUCGAAGUUGAAUAUGAAUUUUGUAUGAAUUAUGGAUGUGAACUGAUCACGCAUGUUCUCCGAGGUCCAUUAUAAAAGGAGGUUUUGUUCCUGGAAUUUCAUGAUUGAGUUGUUAUUCAUGGAUCAAUUAAUAAGUAAAUACAAAAAAAAAAAA
rnacentral:sRNA from 1 species